CACCAGUGCAACACAGUUCCCUUUUACACUGUAAAUGGGAGAGUUUAACGUGACUAAUGCACCGUAUAACUUACGUCUGAUGUGUUUUAUGGUCACCGAAGUCACAGAGCGGUGAAAGGAGCAGCUUUGAGUUCAACAGCAGCAAGUUUCCCUAAAUCUAUUCAGAGCUAAGAGCAGUAAUUGAACAUGUACAAUUUAAUGGAGGGCAGGCUCAAGUCAAUCAAUAGACUCUCCACCCUUCAUUUUGAGUCAACCACUUCCGCUAAUUCGACCAAUCAGAAACAAAAUAGGCGAGAAUCAGACGACCAAUCAGCGUUUUGCGUGCCGACGUAGGCUGGCGUGCGUCGUCAUUGGGUAUGAGCGAGUAGAGCAACAGAAACAAAGGCAGACAAAAAACAGUGAAAAUAUGGAGUAAAACCAUAAUUUGAGUCGUAGCUUCGUCGUUUUGGUUUUUUUAGGACUGCGAGAAGCUUAUUUACCGAAGAAGCCUCGAUGCUAAGGCUAGCUUUAUAGCUGUUUUUCCUCGGACACGAGUGAGGCUGGACGCUGAGCACACCUGCGAUGCUAAGGUCUACAUGUUCAGUUGCUGUAGUCUGGAUGGAGUGACCAGCUCUGACCGUACAGCCCUAACAGCAGGUGUCACCACUUCAUCCAUGUUUGCCGAGUCCUUGUACAGCAGAGAUCUUUGAGACGAGAGGAUCCUCGACAGAGGGGUCACCACUUCAUCCAUGAUUGAAGAGUCCUGGUACAAUGAGACGUUCUUCUCUUCAUGUCAGAGAGGUGAAUUCACAGAAACCACUGGAUCCACUGAAGGAUGAAGGUAGGAAAAUGUUUGAAUUUCUUUAAGAUCAGGGAACAAAAUAGUCCUCAGACUUAAUGUAAACAAUUUAUUGAAAUAUAAAGACAAUGUAUCUCCAAAAUACAGAGUUAAACAUACAUCAUGAGUAAUAGGUAACUCCAAAUAGCAAUAGUAAUCUGUAACAAUAGAGGUAAUAGAAAUAUUUAAGUAAUUUAAAUGUAUGAAGAGUAAUAUAAAUUACUUAAUCCACAAUAAUUAAAGUAGUCUAAUAAUAGAAGUAAUGUAGAGGUAAUAUUUAAGUAAUCUGUAAUAUAAUCAUAGUCAAUGGUAGAAAUCAUAGAAAUAAAUCAGACUAUUCUGUAAUAACUGAAAAAUAGUAUAGAUGUAAUAAUAAAGUAAUCUAGAGGUAAUCCCUAACUAAAAUAAUAAUGUACAAUAGUAGGGGUUUAUAUUAAUCUGUAAUACUAGAUGUAACAUAAUCGUAGUCCAUAAUAGUAAUCCAAUAGUAGAAGUAAUGUAAAUGUAGUCCACAAUAAUAGUGAUAUAAAAGUAAUCUGUAACAGUUGAAAUUUAAUAGUAAUGCAAAAUAAUACAAGUAAUCCACAAUAGUAAAAAUAAUAGUAAGUGAAAUAUUAAUCUAUAAUACUAGAAGUAACAUAAUCAUAGUGUAUUGUAGUCCACAAUAACAGUAAUAUCUAAGUAGUCUGUAACAAUUGAAAUAUAAAAGUAAUGCAAAAUAGAAGUAAUAUUAAUUUGUAACAUUUAAAGUAAUCUGUAAUACUAGAUGUAACAUAAUCGUAGUCCAUAAUAGUAAUCCCAAAUAGAUCUCCAAUAGUAGAAGUAAUGUAAAUGUAGUCCACAAUAAUAGUAAUAUAAAAGUAAUCUGUAACCGUUGAAAUUUAAUAGUAAAAGUAAUCCACAAUAGUGAAAAUAAUAUAGAGGUAAUAUAU